rnacentral:ncRNA from 1 species
CCCUCCGGGUAAAAGGAAAAACGGUUGAAAUCCGUUACAGCACCCGCUACUGUGAGAGAAGAUGAAAUCCGAACAUGCCAUUGGCGCACGUAUUGCGUGGAGAAGGCCGGAAAGUAAGAUGAAGCUCAAGUCAGGAAACCUGCCAUGUGAUU